GGAGAUGUAGCUCAGUGGUAGAGUACUUGCCCAAAAUGCAUGAAGUGCUAGGCUCAAUCCCAAGGACCACCC
rnacentral:tRNA from 1 species